CGCUGGCGGCGUGCCUAAUACAUGCAAGUCGAAACGGCUUUUCUAUGGAAGCUUGCUUCCACUGAAAAGAUAGUGGCGAACGGGUGAGUAACACUGGGGUAACCUGCCCAUAAGAGGGGGGAUAACAUCCGGAAACGGGUGCUAAUACCGCAUAGUUUUCUUGAUCGCAUGAUCGGGAAAGGAAAGACGGCCUUUGUGCUGUCGCUUAUGGAUGGACCCGCGGCGUAUUAGUUAGUUGGUGAGGUAACGGCUCACCAAGACGAUGAUACGUAGCCGACCUGAGAGGGUGAUCGGCCACAUUGGGACUGAGACACGGCCCAAACUCCUACGGGAGGCAGCAGUAGGGAAUCUUCCGCAAUGGACGAAAGUCUGACGGAGCAACGCCGCGUGAGUGAAGAAAAGGGUUUUCGGAUCGUAAAACUCUGUUGUCAGAGAAGAACAAGUUGGAGAGUAACUGCUCCAGCCUUGACGGUAUCUGACCAGAAAGCCACGGCUAACUACGUGCCAGCAGCGGC
rnacentral:rRNA from 1 species